AUAUAUACAUUUAUGCUUUGGUAAGGUUGACAACGUGGGGAAAGGGUCCCUACUCUUCAUUGAACGUUCUGUGAUAUUUAAAAUUGUAAGGUGAAUUAAUAUGGGUGUGACCAACCAAGGUGAGAUUUUUUAAGCUUGAUAGUUGCUUUGUCGUAAAGCAUGCACUAGUUUUAAGUUGGAAUAAUAAUGAAUUCAAAUGCAUGUUGAUGUAAGAGGUGGAUGGAUUUGAGUAAAUAUCGUAUACCUUCGCUAUGGAUGAUAUUCUGAAGGUAUGGAUCAAAAGUGCAUUAAUAGCUAGACAACAUGGAUGAAGCAUUUUUAGAGACGGAGAGAUGAGGAGACAUAUUGCACCCGAAAAUACAAGUCAAGAGGAAGAGGAUCAAUAACUUUCGAAUUGAUAUGCUUGAAGUUACACAUGCAUGAUUGAUUAAAAUUCAUUGCUCCAGAUAGUCGUUAACGACCACGAUAACUUUUAAUUACUUUAUUUCAACUUUUCUAGUUGAAUGAAGUCUAUUGUCUAAAUUACUUUUUUUUUUCUUUUUCUAAUAAUUAAGUAUAUAUGUUUGACGCAAUAUCAUAUUCAUUGCUAAAGUCUUUUUAUAUAUAUAUAAAUAAUCAAGUACAUGCAUUUAAUCCAAUAUUGUCGACAAAUUGAGGUUCAUGUUGGCAAACAACGUAAGAAAAAUAUUUGAGUGCAUUCUAAAUUACACUUGUUUACUUUUUUUUUUUUUUUCAUUCACUCUCACAUUCAUCGUUCCCUAAAUAUUUGAUUUUUGUUUAUACUAUAUGGUUGGUAGAUGCAUGAGCCCAUAACACAUCUUAAUCAGUUACAUAUAUAACAAUAUAAUAGAACCAAAAGAAAUAAAAUUGAAUGUGAUUCAUAUUUUUAUACAAUAUUAUAUAAUACACCUGCACAUAAAAAAGUAAUUUAUUUUACUAAUAAACGUAAAAUGUCGAUCAAUUAUGAAAUAUAGUAUAUACUUAAAAGGUAGAAAAAAGAGAAUAUACAAGUAAACAUAUAUAUAUAUAUAUAUAUAUAUAUAUAUUCUUGAAACAUGCAACCGAAGCAAAUAUAUAUAUUAGCACAUUUGAGUGCAAAAAAUUAUCCAUCUUUAUAUUUGGUAGAACAAUAGAUGAUUGAACAACAAAGAACCCAAGGAGAUUUUGGAGAUGAUAUAACAACUAAGCUUAUAACAUUAACCCUAAUAUUAAACACACAAAACAAAGAAUAAAAAUGAAAGGAUUUACCAUUGUUGAGGAAACACAAACUUGUGGGCAAAACAAAGCAUCAUUGCUUCAUAAGUAGCUAUAAACCUCUUCAAUGGCAAUCCUAAUUUUGCUUUUCCUUCCAUUUUCUUCCAUAACUCUACAAGAUUAUUACUGCUUCUUCUUCUUCCUCCAAGUAUUAUAGUUGGAUUGGUCUUGAUCUUCAUCUUGCUUUGUUCAUCAACUAAUUCACCAAUGUUUUCACUUCUCAGCCUUUCAUAUGAUGAUCUUCUUCUCCCCAUUCCCAUGCCUAUAUUAUGCUUUUUGGGUCUCUACCUCAAUAACUCUCUUCAAGUAAAUGCCUCUUUUUCCUUUCUAUGCUUUGGUUUUUCAAGAAAAAUGAGAGAGAGAAAUGCAUCACAUUAAUUUUGUAUUUAAUGGCUAGCUAGAGUCUAUAAGGAAAAAGUGCAAAGCAAUAAUGCUUUAGUGAAUUUUUUUUAUCAUAAUUAAUGAGUGGUUAUAUCCAUGCCAACUACCAAAUUUAGUAUCAUUUAUUCAAUAUAACAUUAAUAGAAA
rnacentral:lncRNA from 1 species